rnacentral:rRNA from 1 species
ACGAACGCUGGCGGCAUGCCUAACACCUGCAAGUCGAACGAGACCUUCGGGUCUAGUGGCGCACGGGUGCGUAACGCGUGGGAACCUGCCCUUAGGUUCGGAAUAACUCCCCGAAAGGGGUGCUAAUACCGGAUAAUGUCUUCGGACCAAAGAUUUAUCGCCUUUGGAUGGGCCCGCGUUGGAUUAGCUAGUUGGUAGGGUAAAAGCCUACCAAGGCGACGAUCCAUAGCUGGUCUGAGAGGAUGAUCAGCCACACUGGGACUGAGACACGGCCCAGACUCCUACGGGAGGCAGCAGUGGGGAAUAUUGGACAAUGGGCGAAAGCCUGAUCCAGCAAUGCCGCGUGAGUGAUGAAGGCCUUAGGGUUGUAAAGCUCUUUUACCCGGGAUGAUAAUGACAGUACCGGGAGAAUAAGCUCCGGCUAACUCCGUG